rnacentral:rRNA from 1 species
CCUACGGGUGGCUGCAGUGGGGAAUAUUGGACAAUGGGGGGAACCCUGAUCCAGCCAUGCCGCGGGUGUGAAGAAGGCCCUCGGGUUGUAAAGCACUUUCAGUGAGGAAGAACGCCUGGUGGUUAAUACCCAUCAGGAAAGACAUCACUCACAGAAGAAGCACCGGCUAACUCCGUGCCAGCAGCCGCGGUAAUACGGAGGGUGCGAGCGUUAAUCGGAAUUACUGGGCGUAAAGCGCGCGUAGGUGGCUUGAUAAGCCGGUUGUGAAAGCCCCGGGCUCAACCUGGGAACGGCAUCCGGAACUGUCAAGCUAGAGUGCAGGAGAGGAAGGUAGAAUUCCCGGUGUAGCGGUGAAAUGCGUAGAGAUCGGGAGGAAUACCAGUGGCGAAGGCGGCCUUCUGGACUGACACUGACACUGAGGUGCGAAAGCGUGGGUAGCAAACAGGAUUAGAUACCCCAGUAGUC